UACGUAGGUGGCAAGCGUUGUCCGGAAUUAUUGGGCGUAAAGCGCGCGCAGGCGGUCCUUUAAGUCUGAUGUGAAAGCCCACGGCUCAACCGUGGAGGGUCAUUGGAAACUGGGGGACUUGAGUACAGAAGAGGAAAGCGGAAUUCCACGUGUAGCGGUGAAAUGCGUAGAGAUGUGGAGGAACACCAGUGGCGAAGGCGGCCGGCUGGACGGCACCUGACGCUGAGGCGCGAAAGUGUGGGGAGCAAACGGG
rnacentral:rRNA from 1 species